AGUGAACGCUGGCGGUAGGUCUAACACAUGCAAGUCGAACGGCAGCACAGUAAGAGCUUGCUCUUACGGGUGGCGAGUGGCGGACGGGUGAGGAAUACAUCGGAAUCUACUUUUUCGUGGGGGAUAACGUAGGGAAACUUACGCUAAUACCGCAUACGACCUACGGGUGAAAGCAGGGGAUCUUCGGACCUUGCGCGAUUGAAUGAGCCGAUGUCGGAUUAGCUAGUUGGCGGGGUAAAGGCCCACCAAGGCGACGAUCCGUAGCUGGUCUGAGGGGAUGAUCAGCCACACUGGAACUGAGACACGGUCCAGACUCCUACGGGAGGCAGCAGUGGGGAAUAUUGGACAAUGGGCGCAAGCCUGAUCCAGCCAUACCGCGUGGGUGAAGAAGGCCUUCGGGUUGUAAAGCCCUUUUGUUGGGAAAGAAAAGCAGCAGGUUAAUACCCCGCUGUUCUGACGGUACCCAAAGAAUAAGCACCGGCUAACUUCGUG
rnacentral:rRNA from 1 species